UACGGGGGGGGCAAGCGUUGUUCGGAAUUACUGGGCGUAAAGGGUUCGUAGGUGGCCAACUAAGUCAUACGUGAAAUCCCUCAGCUUAACUGGGGAACUGCGUCUGAUACUGGUUGGCUUGAGUGCAGGAGAGGAACGCGGAAUUCCAGGUGUAGCGGUGAAAUGCGUAGAUAUCGGGAGGAACACCUGUGGCGAAGGCGGCCAUCUGGACGUUCACUGACGCUGAGACGCGAAAGCGUGGGUAGCAAACAGG
rnacentral:rRNA from 1 species